rnacentral:rRNA from 1 species
GACGAACGCUGGCGGCGUGCUUAACACAUGCAAGUCGAACGGACAGGCCCUGCUUUUGUGGGGUGCUCGAGUGGCGAACGGGUGAGUAACACGUGAGUAACCUGCCCUUGACUUUGGGAUAACUUCAGGAAACUGGGGCUAAUACCGGAUAGGAGCUCCUGCUGCAUGUUGGGGGUUGGAAAGUUUCGGCGGUUGGGGAUGGACUCGCGGCUUAUCAGCUUGUUGGUGGGGUAGUGGCUUACCAAGGCUUCGACGGGUAGCCGGCCUGAGAGGGUGACCGGCCACAUUGGGACUGAGAGACGGCCCAGACGGCUACGGGAGGCAGCAGUGGGGAAUAUUGCAGAAUGGGCGGAAGCCUGAUGCAGCAACGCCGCGUGCGGGAUGACGGCCUUCGGGUUGUAAACCGAUGUCGCCUGUGACGAAGCGUGAGUGACGGUAAUGGGUAAAGAAGCACCGGCUAACUACGUG